CUCCCAAGUUGAGAAAUUUGAACACACCAUUAAAUGUUAAACAACAAUCCUAUAAUGCCGUGAAGACAAAAGCCUGAGACAUCGUUAUAGCUCCUUUUCUUGAUGACUAUUUCGAAACGUAAUCACGCUUUUCAGAGUUCUUGAUCGGCUUGUAAAGCGUCGUUAUUCAUGACAAUGGGUAUUACGGAUACGCAAGUUUGUUUGAUAAAUAAAUGUAUCAUAAAAGCUGGGGUAACAUUUUCCGACUUUCCUGUACCGAAUACAGUCGACCAAUUCAAACGUAAAUAAACACGACUUCAGCAUUUGUUCGGCGAGGUCGAGCUCGGCAGCAUUUAGUCAGCGGGAUCCGAACGGUCGAGAUCGGCCCCUUAUACCUCGCUGCUUGUUCAUCUAAAACCAUUUAUACGGCACUCUAAUUAUAUAAAUAAUCAGCUUAAGAACUAGAUAAACCCUCUUACUAAAUUUGUACGUAAAGAACUCCUCGAAUAACCCAAUUAAAAGUGGUUUUACGCUAAAUCAAAGUGACUAUGCGCCCUGACAAUUUUCGACCUGUUGCUAUUGUACGUGCAUCUCUGCGGUUGUUUUGAAGUUCAUACUCCAUGCACGUGGAUAUCUUGGAGUAACGCAGACCUGGGCCUUUUUUACGGCAUAUGAUGCUGGAUUCAAGUGAAACAUGCGAUGAAAAACAAGUGUCACUCCAAUAAGAGGGAACAUUGCAUCGCGAUUAUACGGUCUAAGGUCCACCAGCGUUGAUUCUCUCCUUCUAGAAAAUGCGAUACUUGUGAAUCGCUUAGAGUUGUCCAACUUACCAACGUAUGGAACAUAUUUAAUGACGACGCAAUGAUCUGGCUUCUCCUCAGAUCUAAACUGUUGCGGGGCUGACAAAUUAAAUCCAUCAUUAUUUCCAAGGUGGUUGUAGCUGACUAUCGAUACAGGUUUUAUGCCAGCAGAAACCAAAAAGUCCACCAAUACUGAUUUUAAUUUAGUCUGACCGGACUUGAAAUCAUCUCCAGCAAUGAAGGUCUCAUACCUUUCAGCAAGCUCAAUAGCACCAGUGUUGGCAGUCCACACUAUUAUGAUUUUGUCCAAGUUCUUUGCUGUUUUGAAUUCGGAUAUGUCUCUUCGAAUCCAACUAAGCUGUUCCGUCUUUGAACCUGAGAUAAUAUUGUUUGCUCGUUCCUCCUACAUUAUCAACUUCUGCUAUUUGAAGUAGACAUAUCAUUUCCAACGUAUUUUGACAUGCUGAGCAGGAUUCCGUUCAAAAAAUGGCAUUAGACCAUCCAAUUUUUCAUAAACAAUAAUUUAAAAAAUCUCAAAAGUGAAUAAAACACGUGUAAAAAGAGGUCAAUAUCUGAAAACUGAACAACUUUUGAUCAAAGAUCUACCAUUGGUAACAUCCAUGACAUCGGUACAUGGACAUCUUCGCUACCCCCACUGCCAAGUCUAACAGUUGAUGACUGUGUGAUGGAGCCAUACCUCUCAAGUUCAUUUUGUUGGCUAGCAGUGCUGCAGUAAAUGUUGUACCAUUGUUGCCGCCCCAUCCCACUAACAUGACACCAAGUUUUGGUAUAGUCAAUUCUGUUCUUAUAAUUAACUUUGUGGAUAUAGGAGUUGCCUGU